AACGAACGCUGGCGGCAUGCCUAACACAUGCAAGUCGAACGAGACCUUCGGGUCUAGUGGCGCACGGGUGCGUAACGCGUGGGAACCUGCCCUUAGGUUCGGAAUAACUCCCCGAAAGGUGUGCUAAUACCGGAUAAUGUCUUCGGACCAAAGAUUUAUCGCCUUUGGAUGGGCCCGCGUUGGAUUAGCUAGUUGGUAGGGUAAAAGCCUACCAAGGCGACGAUCCAUAGCUGGUCUGAGAGGAUGACAAGCCACACUGGGACUGAGACACGGCCCAGACUGCUACGGGAAGCAGCAGUGGGGAAUAUUGGACAAUGGGAGAAAGCCUGAUCCAGCAAUGCCGCGUGAGUGAUGAAGGCCUUAGGGUUGUAAAGCUCUUUUACACGGGAUGAUAAUGACAGUACCGGGAGAAUAAGCACCGGCUAACUCCGUG
rnacentral:rRNA from 1 species